UCCGUCUCUUUUUUUGAGGGAUAAUUACAGUUUCCUCAUCGGAGAUUAGAUCCUUACUAAGCUCCAUGUGAUUUGAAAAGAAGCACUUAAUCUCUCUAUGGUCAGAUAGAUCUGUCGAACAUGCUCCAUUACUCACCUGCAUGACAAAAUAGAUUCAAGGAUUUUUCUGGGACCUUGCUACGUAAGAGGAAGAGGAAGGGGAGUC
rnacentral:lncRNA from 1 species